ensembl:lncRNA
UAACGCGGCCUCUGCAUCAGUCUCCUCUGACAAAGGCCGUCGUUUCAUUCUUUAUUAUGAGGUCGGUUUGAAAUGAUAGUAAAGCAAACAUUAAAAUGAAGCAUCAUACCCGUCAUCACAUCACCUCACUAUCUUUGUAAGUUGUAAAUUGUUCCAUUAAACCAAGAUAUAUACGGUUUAACUUUUCCAAAGCGGGCACUUUAAAAGCGGCGUGCUCCUUUAAAGCGACGUCUGCUGUGGUGAUUUUUCGAGCAUGUCGGUUCCUCAGCUACGCCGUGAUGCCGCGGCCCGGCUCCUUCAUGUGUAAAAUGCCCCUUCUGAUGGAUUCCUGGUGGAUUGCUGCUGCACUGUGCACCUGGACCAGAGUCAGCAGGUGUGCAAAUGGACAGAUGCCUUUGAGAUGAUGUCACACAUCCUGCCCUAAAGAGGAUUUCUCUUUACUAUUAUUCAGUUUGAUCAUCGGUGUCAUGGGCUCACAGCAUGGACGAGAUGAUGCUGAGGACACCAGCAUCAGCAGGAUGCCGAGUCAAAUGAUGACAAGGUGAGCGGUGAGGCAGCUAGGUCCUCAUGCUAAUGCUAACAAUAGCAAACAUCACAAACAUCACUACUGUAACUCAAUGACAUUUUGGAAGACGAACUUCCUGGUCCGGCGUCCUGGAUGAAAGUCCUGUGUUUGUCUCACGCCUCACUUCUCUUCAGUUUCACUUUAGUGAGCGCGAGCAACAUUGAGCUUGUCACAGAAUCAAAGUGGACGUACUUACUAUUCGCUGCUGUUUGCAGGCGGGUGAAAAGAACAAAAAGGGCUCCCGAAGGAAGGAGCCGUGAUGAGACAUCUUCUUGUGGUUCGGGGACGUGAUGUCCCCGGAGAACAUCUCCACCGCCGCGAUGCUUUUUUUUUUUUUUUGCUCUCCCAUUAUGACACGGACGCAUUGGCAACGCGGCUGACACUCAUCUCCCCCCCUCUCAUCAAACACGCACCAUCUAAAUGUGCGUUCCGUGUGCUCGGCUUCACACCUCCUCCCUCACACAGUGAUUUCUCACUUUGCCAGGCAGAGACUCUGUUCAGCCUCCCGCCAUCUCCCCCUGCUGUCGCUCUGCUGCGUUCGGAAGCCAGUCGGACACCUCGCCGCCGGGCUGUUUACAAGCGGAGAGGUCAGGGCGGGUCAGCGGGGCGGAUCAGCAGGUCGGGCCCCCCGAGGGGCCGAGAGAAACCAGCGGAGGUAAAACAAGCGAGAGGAGGGAAGAACGUCUCUGCUGGUGUUGGUCUCUGACCGGUUACACUCUGGAUCAUUCACCCUUAUAGGAACCUGGACCCUGAUAGGAACAAUAACCGGAAUAUUUAAUAAUUAGCCUGGAUUAAGAUGCUAACUGCCCCAUUUACAGCCAGUGUGGGAAAUACAGGGGGGGUCUCUGGGGUCUGUACAUUCUGUACACAUGACAUCCAUCGUAGUCUGUCCGUCCCCAAGGUUACGUUUUUUUCAUACUUGGGGUUUUUCCUGUGCCGAUGGGGGGGGUUUAGGGACAGAGGAGCGGAACUGCAAAGCCCUCUGGGGCAAAUUCUUUACUUGCAAUUUUGGUCUACAAAAGGAAUUUAAUUGAGGCCCCUUGAUUGACAUUUGAACGUAAUUGGCAUUAAAAUAUCUAUUAAAAACGUCCAAAUACGCGGCGGUUUUCACUAUUCAAACUAGGAGACAGUGUAGUGAGCGUGAGGGGACGUGAGCGGCCUGAAGGGACGUCCCGUGAGGACAAAACUUUUUGCCCGCAAAACAAACGCCUCUCCUCCGUCUUAUAGGGCAGGUGCAGAUGCUCUGUGUGUGUGUGUGUGUGUGUGUGUGUGUGUGUGUGUGUGUGUGUGUGUGUGUGUGUGCGACCAGCAUGCAACAGCACUGGGCUGAGAAAAGCUAAAAGAAAUGUUAUUUUCAAUCAGUCCACCUCAGCGAGCAGCAGGCAGCAGUCAAACACACAAGAGGAGACCCCUGAAGCGUUAAAGGACAUUUCCAAUGCGCGCACGUGUUCGUGUGCGUGCGUGUGAAAUAGAAGGAGCAGACCAUCGGCCAGGUGUCUUGCAGGGCGGCUGUGAGGAGGGUAGAGACGGAUGUCUCACUGCAGCAGAGCGUUCAGUAUUAUCUGUGCAGACACACGGACACAUCAGCAUGCAGCUGGGGACUCGUUGCAAACGGAACGUAAACACACCGCGCAGGAGAAGAAUAAAAGCGCCUGUUAGCAAGCGCAUGAACAGGUGAGCAGGCUCCAUGCGGCCGAUUUGUUAAACUGGUGACAGAGAAUGAAAGAGAAGCUGCCUGCAGGUCGCCGUGUAAAAGUGAACCACUUGGUCAGCAUGCCGAUGGACACGGAGGACAACGAAGCAACCCGUCGGUCUGCAUUCACUGCUAGAGUCAAAAGCCAAAGCAGCACGAGUAGGACUCUGAGUGCUAACGCUAGCAAUAUGCUAACUGUGCUAACGUUAGCUCGGCAGGUUUCUGAGUAGAGUUUAAACCUCUCCAGUCUCACUACAGCCAAAGAGACUUUGUGGAGGACAGACUGGUUCGGAGGACAGACUGGCCAGAGUACAGCCUGGUCAGAGGACAGACUGGUUCGGAAGGAAGACUGGUUUGGAGGACAGACUGGUCAGAGGACAGACUGGUCGGAGGACAGACCGGUUCGGAGGACCGACCGGUUCGGAGGACCGACCGGUCAGAGGACAGACUGGUCAGAGGACAGACUGGUCAGAGGACAGCCUGGUCAGAGGACAGACCGGUUCGGAGGACAGACUGGUUCGGGUGACAGACUGGUUCAGGGGACAGACCGGUCGGAGGACAGACUGGUUCAGGGGACAGACUGGUCGGGUGACAGACUGGUUCAGGGGACAGACCGGUCGGAGGACAGACCGGUCGGAGGACAGACUGGUUCGGAGGACAGACUGGUUCAGGGGACAGACUGGUCAGAGGACAGACUGGUCAGAGGACAGACUGGUCGGAGGACAGACUGGUCAGAGGACAGACUGGUCGGAGGACAGACUGGUCGGAGGACAGACUGGUUCAGGGGACAGACUGGUCAGAGGACAGACUGGUUCGGAGGCGUUCGUGGCCCCUGUGACAGUUAACAAUAAGAAGCGGCUUCAGCUUAUCAGAGUUGCUCAAACGUGAGUAGAAGGGUCGUCCUUCUGACAGCCAUCAGAAACCCUGGAGAGUCUUUGUAAGAGGAGUAAAGCAUGUGGUCACCCGUCUAACUGUCACUCAAAGAAGCUCUUUCAUUAUCUCAACGAAACGUAUCAUUAGGUUUUAUCUUUUUUUUAAUUUUCCUUACUGUUCCCUCCCACUUCCUGCCUCCUCCAACCGACGACGGGGGAAGCAGCACAGCAUCUUGUGGUCAUCAGCAGUUUAACCCUCAGACGUCCACACCGUGCUUCCUCUUCAGCGUGCGUGUUUUGAGCAUCUUUGCUUUCAGAUUGCUGCGAUACGUUAGGUCUCUUUUUUUAAUCACAUCUAUUGUCCCUUCACGCAGGACGUGAAAUCAAUACCAAGAGAAACUCAUGCGCCAUGUGUCAUCUUUAGACUGGAGAUGAGAGAUGAAGAUUGGCAGCAACAAACACGCUGGAGGAGGAAACAGGUCCGUCUUUAGAUUCCAAUGCAAGCAGCUUAUUUUUAGAAGGACCGGGAGCAAACGUUUGCAUCUAAGCGGCGUGUUUGUCAGAGACGUAUGAACACAUCUACUGACAGCUGGAACAUACGGCGGCUUGGAAUGAACUUCUGUGUGGGGAAAUCUUCACUCUCUGCUAAUCAGGCAUGAUGAGAAUACAGGAAACGGGAACCAGAGGGACGCAUGAAAACCUCACUAAGAAGGUUUUAAGCCUUUUAUUGAACAGAAAAAUGUGAAAUCACACAAAUGUGCUCAUCUCAUGGUUUAUAGGUUACGCCUUUUAAGAAAUGUUCCUCCGUGGUUUCACAUUAGGAAAAAAGUAGUUCCCCAGAUACAAUUAUUUAAUAUACCACACAUAAAAAACUCAUUUAUAUAUUCACCGUAUUCGCCAAGCCGAACGUGCGUUUGUGCUCAUAACACGUUUUAAUCCAAACUCAACCAGAGGUGGCGGCGACAGCUGGACGGCGUUCCGAGGCCACACGCCUACACACGCAGAGGUUAAACAGCUCAGUGAAGCAGAAGCCGCGUGUGUUCAUGUAAACAUUUUGUUACAUACAUUACGUGUCCACGUGUCCACCAGAAGAGUCGAACCAGUCGGCCAGAAAUAGGUUUGCAUGUGGGCCGAUGAGUGGUCGAUAAAAUACAUGAAUCUAGUACUGUCGGAUCCAACUGUCCUCCAGGACAUCCAUGUAGAACCAUUCUAAUGUAACACACUUCAUAUUGUCAGUCAUUUGAGCCCGAGCCUGGAUAACUAAAUAAUUGUCUGCAUAAACCUGACUGAUGGCUUCCCUGGGCAGACUGAAGUUUAUUUUGAAAGGACUGAACACGCUCUGCUGGACUUUCUUAGUGCAACGCAGCAGGAAUCGUUGGUGAAUAGUUAUCUGGCGAUGUGGACAUGGCGCCUUUCUACCCAUCAGGUGUCACGCCGUCGCCUCUACAUCCGGGAUGUGUUGCACCCUAAUGAGGGGGCAACAACAUGCGUGUGCAUUUCCCUCCAUUUCUGGAACCGGUACAUGCUCCUGUGUGCAUGCAGCCCUGAUGCUUAUGGAUUUUUUUAUUCUCUCAUGAACGCGGGAGGAGGAGGCUUUGUUUAUGUGCGGCACAGGCGUCCCGCAAGAGGCCGGGAGGGAGACGAGGAGCGACGAAGAGUCCUUCAGCUGUAAUCGUGACGGCGACGCCGGUAAAUGCCAUUAGCGCCACGAGCACCUGCACGUCACGUUUGACUGAGCUGCAGCCAGACCUCCGCUGCAGUGCUCAGCUGGACCGCAUUCACUGUUAAUGGGACUCAAAGGUCAUCGAGGAGCUGAGAGCUUAGCAGCCUCGGUGAGACACAACAAUCUAUCGUAACCUUCAUUACUGCAGUCAACAGAGGGAUCAAUAGGGCCACGGGGCCCAUCCAUCCAUGGAUUAGCCUGAGAUUAGAAAGCCAAACCCGUCGCCCAAGUGCAUGCUGGUCAUCCGCUCCGGUGAAGGCCAGAGAACCGGAAGACCUUCAGCGUGACAAUUUGUCUGAAACUGCAAACAUGAUAUUACUUUAUAGGACAUCACUUUCUAAAGCACGAUGAGUCUACGUCGUAUAUGUUGACGGAAAUAAAAUAAUACUGUGACACAGUCCGGAGACGCGUGAGGCGAAGGAUCGAUUUGUUAAAACCCUCUCCUUAUUUCCCUCGUGUCUUCGGCCUAUUUGGAUUCCAGGAAUCGAGGCGAGUGAAGAGAAAUCAAGGAAGCGCUCACAUCACGAGUUGUUCCUGUUAUUUUGUCCACACAGCCCGCGCAGUGCGUGCACGUGCGCAGUGGAACAAACCAGGCCUGUAGUGUGCGCGCGGUGUUACACACGGCUGGUAAUAAAUACCACAAUCUGUAUCGGAGUUAUUUCUGUCCGGAGUUCUGAAGUGUGUGUGCGCGUGUGUGUGCGCGUGUGUGUGCGCGUGUGUGUGUGUCUGUGUGGAGUUCCACGCUGGUAAUAAAUCGAGUGAGGAGAUAAGACAACUAUCAUUCCUGCUCUGCUCCUCUUCCUCCUCCAGUGAUGGAGAUGCAGCGAGGUUUUAUUAUUUUCUCCAGACUCGGGGCUUGUGCUUGAUUAAAUUAAAGCCUGUAGAAGCUUGUCUGAACACACAAGGGGGUCAAAACCAAACAGAAGAGGGGACGUCUCCGGGGGGGACGGAGGCAGGGCCGAUGCAACAUGACGCAAUCAUGGAAUACGGGCGGAUGCAUGAACCGAGUAAAAAGGAUUGUCUGUGAAAUGCGGAUUCGGGAGAUGAAUCAACUUGAUAUGCGGGGGUCACUAAACCUAACGAACAGGGGUCAGAUCGGAGAAAACCACCGAUGGUUGUGUGGGAAUCGGUUUGGCAAUACAUGGCCUUUUGAAUUGAAACAGCAUUUAGUUUACUGCCAUUGGGUUUCUAUGGCGACGUGAGAUAAUCGAUCCGAAUGCCAAAAGGGAAAGAAUAUUGUGUGAGACGAGCCGGUGCGUGCGGUAGUAAUAAAAGAAUGUAAUGUGCUGUGGACUCUUCACAUCCUCACUGGCUGUUUGUUUGUUUGUUUGUUCUCCAUUGAGAGUUAUCGGCCUCAGCAGCAGUGAUAUGGUGCUUGUUAUAAUGCUUUACAGACUUAUACGAUAAUAAGGACGACAAACCUUCAUAGGAAAUAGGUGGAUGUGUUUAGGAUGGGAAUGACGUCCAAUGGAAGGAUCCUAAAACAACAUCCAUUAUUAUGACUAAUAUCUAUUAACAAACGUAGCUUUUAGUCAGUGCGUAAGUGGAAUAAUCUGACACACCAGGAACCGUAUCAGCGGUUUGUUCUGCUUCUGAAUUUGACUCGCUGAACUUGCGUGUCCGUUGGACCGAUGGCGUGAGGAGAAAGCGGCGUGGUGGAGCGUGGCGAGCCCAGCGGCUCCGUCCACACGCGUGUGGAUUCUUGGGGCUCCGAGUAAAGACCCGGGCUGAUUAGGACGUAACCAGCGACCAAUCGGAUCCUCCGAACCGACAGCCUGAAGUUUCCACACAUUGUGAGGGAAUAAGUCUCUGUUUGCAUCCGAUGGAUAAAUAGUUAAUACUUAAGAUUAAUAUUUCAUUCAUACAAACGAUGAUUUUAUUUUGUGUCAGCUACAGACCGGUAGUGAGACAUAUGGGAACUCCUGGUGGGUUUAAUUGGAUGUUUGAUUUUCCCAAUAUUAGCUUUCCGAUAUUGAAAGUCUCUGUUUCUGAAUUUUUCAGAGAUUCACGUGGAAACUUGAGAGCUUGAUAUUGGAAACCUGAUGUGGCCGAUUCAUUAGUGGGUUCCACGAAGAACCAACAAACAUUUUACCGCAUUGACAGCAUAAAUGAGAGGACAUCGUGGCUUCAAACCACCGGUGAACGGGAAUUAGCUGUCAAUCACAGGAGGCCCCGCCUUCACUGAAUGAACAUCAUGCUGUUGACUUGAAACUAGAGAUCGAGAGAAGUGGCGUCAUGUUCUCCUAGUGGCCGUCUGAUGAACUACAUCCCCUUCGGCCGCCGGGCUUCAAACCAAGAGACAACGCUUUGACCUUUGAACUACUGUGUCCGUGAUGUCAUGUAUCAUUAGCACAU